rnacentral:misc_RNA from 1 species
UCCGUGUUAUCCACGGCAGUCUCAUUAGAGUCCUCAACUGAAUGUUAGUAACUAACGACAAGGGUUGCGCUCGUUGCGGGACUUAACCCAACAUCUCACGACACGAGCUGACGACAACCAUGCACCACCUGUCACUGCUGUCCGAAGAAGGGACCGGUUAAGGUCCUGUCAGCAGGAUGUCAAGCCCUGGUAAGGUUCUUCGCGUUGCUUCGAAUUAAACCACAUGCUCCGCUGCUUGUGCGGGUCCCCGUCAAUUCCUUUGAGUUUCACACUUGCGUGCGUACUCCCCAGGCGGAGCACUUAAUGCGUUAACUGCGGCACCGAAGUCUUGCGACCCCGACACCUAGUGCUCAUCGUUUACGGCGUGGACUAC